CAAACCAAAGCUGGCGACCGGCGCACGGGUGAGUAACACGUAUCCAACCUGCCUCAUACUCGGGGAUAGCCUUUCGAAAGAAAGAUUAAUAUCCGAUAGCGUAUAUUUCCCGCAUGGGUUUUAUAUUAAAGAAAUUCGGUAUGAGAUGGGGAUGCGUUCCAUUAGUUUGUUGGGGGGGUAACGGCCCACCAAGACUACGAUGGAUAGGGGUUCUGAGAGGAAGGUCCCCCACAUUGGAACUGAGACACGGUCCAA
rnacentral:rRNA from 1 species